CAAUAGCGUAUAUUAAAGUUGUUGCGGUUAAAAAGCUCGUAGUUGGAUUUCUGCUGAGAACGACCGGUCCGCCCAUUGGGUGUGUAUCUGGCUCUUUCUUGGCAUCUUCUUGGUGAACGUUACUGCACUUGACUGUGUGGAGCGCUACCCAGGACUUUUACUUUGAGGAAAUUAGAGUGUUUCAAGCAGGCAUACGCCUUGAAUACGUUAGCAUGGAAUAAUAAGAUAGGACCUCGGUUCUAUUUUGUUGGUUUCUAGAGCUGAGGUAAUGAUUAAUAGGGAUAGCUGGGGGCAUUCGUAUUUAACUGUCAGAGGUGAAAUUCUAGGAUUUGUUAAAGACGGACUACUGCGAAAGCAUUUGCCAAGGAUGUUUUCAUUGA
rnacentral:rRNA from 1 species